rnacentral:lncRNA from 1 species
UUGAUUGUGGCUUAUCCUUCCUAUAGCUCCUUAGGGUUACUUGCAUCUUUCUCUAUUAUCCACUUUUACAUAUCUAACUAAAUCUCAAUUUCUCACUUUUUCUAUUUAAACAACCUAAAAAGGUUUUUGUUAAUUCUCAACUCUUGGCUAUUACUCCUUGACACUCAAAUUUCAUUAAACUUUUAAUUUCAUCCCAUAACUCAC